rnacentral:rRNA from 1 species
CCCCUAGAUGUUCUGGGCCGCACGCGCGCUACACUGAACAGUUCAACAAGUCUUAACCUUGGCCGAUAGGUCUGGGUAAUCUUUGAACGCUGUUCGUGAUUGGGAUAGACCUUUGCAAUUAUGGGUCUUCAACGAGGAAUUCCUAGUAAACGCAAGUCAUCAGCUUGCAUUGAUUACGUCCCUGCCCUUUGUACACACCGCCCGUCGCACCUACCGAUUGAAUGGUCCGGUGAAAUCUCGGGACGGCGGCUUGGUCGCUUGCGUCCGACUGCUGAAACUUGAUUAAACCAUAUCAUUUCUAGGAAGGUGAAGUCGUAACA